CUCCUACGGGAGGCAGCAGUGGGGAAUCGUUGCACAAUGGGCGAAAGGCCUGAUGCAGCGACGCCGCGUGGGGGAUGGAAGCAUUUCGGUGUGUAAACCCUUUCGACUGGGAAGAAAACCUCGCAAGAGGAUUGACGGUACCAGUAUAAGAAGCCCCGGCUAACCUACGUGCCAGCAGCCGCGGUAAUAC
rnacentral:rRNA from 1 species